CUUUUACUCUUGUCUUUUUAAGUAUACCAUUCUUUAGGCCUGAUGCAAUGACGUUUAUUUUCUAACUUGAACUGUGUAACUGACCUUUUAUGUCCUGUAUAUUCUGAUUUAACAUUUUCGUUUCUUUAUACUUGUACUUAGUUUUGCCACUGGUUCUAGAGAUUGGUUUCCUUUUCAGGCUUCUAUGUGUUUGUUGGUUAUGACACAUUUUGGCUGUUAAAGUUUUGAGAUUAACCCCUGCUUAUAUUCUUGUGUCAAUUUUGCCACUAUACUUUGAUAUUCGAAUUUCUGUUUGUUUGCAUGUAACUACUUUUUGACGUUGACCAUAUUGUUGUGACACAUGAUCAAUUUUGCCCGUUAAACUUUAAGAGAGGUUUAAAUGCUUUUUCCAAUGUAUGUGGUUUCUUAUUGAAUUAAUUGUUGCUGCUGCCCUUUUGAGUGGUAAGUAGCCUUGGAGAUUUGUAUUAGGUAGGUGGCACAAAUUUUGCCAUUAUACUUUUGAGAGCUAAAGUACUAUUCAAAUUCCUGCAUUUGUUUGCAUGCGACGACAUUUUGACUGACACAUGAUCAAUUUUGCCCAUUAAAACUUUAGAGAGGUUUAAAUGCUUGUUCAAAUGUACAUGAUUUCUUCUUGAACCAAUUAUUGCUGCUGUUCUUUCGAGCAGUCAGUUGCCUAUUAAGAUUUGUGAUUGGUUGGUGGCGAGAGAUGCAUUUGGAAGCAUAUGCUGUGUAUUGAUUAUUUCUGCGUGUUCUUGCCUGUGCCACCAGACAAAAUGGACAUUACACGCUUGUGAACGCUAUGGAAUUGCGCUUCAUAUGGUUGUAAAGUUUUUAUUCAACUAUACUUUUCAGUCAAUGACUAACUCACAAAACAGAUAUGCCAAUUCAUUUGCCCCCAGCCCUUCUGUCUCUAUUCCAGGUAUUUUCACUAUUUCUAGUCUGCGUGGCAUACAUGCAAUAAGACAACAAAUGCAGCCAGAACUUUUAUUUUGUAUAAAUUUUCUGAUCCUCUGGAACUAGAAAACAUUCACAUUUUGUAGCACUUGUCUUGUCCAUCUUCAUGAAGCCGACAAAAGAACUAGUUGAAAGAGGUCAGAGUUUCUCUAUAGACGGGAACUUUGUGCUUCAGUAGUCAUGACUUCACUAUAGCUGCGUAAAAAUCUAUCUUCUUCAUACUUCCGUCAUUUUUUGACAUGAGCUCAAAAUGCAGCACGAAUUUGUAUAUUAUGAUGAACCAUGUCUGAUGUGAAUCAACAGAAUCUUUUUGAAACUUUUGUCCAACUUGACAUGAAUCUUCAUUGCAAAUUCCAAAAAUUGUUGUCAGGAGGAGGUGGUGAGGUAAAGGGACAAGUGAUUCCCUUUUUCCUUGUUAUUCUAUAGUAUAUGCCUAGAUACUAGUGCUGCCAUCCCAAUCAUACCGCUAUUUUACAUAUUUGAAGUGUUUAUCUCAUCAUUAUCUUGUUUACUCUAUGCACCGUUUAUAAGAGGUAUAGUAUACGCUGUAAACUGGUUUCAACAUGCUGGUGGAGUUAGUAAUACCCUGUUUCUUCAAAGUCAUCUCAAGUUAACUAGACAAAUUUCUCUGGCAAUUGCCCUUCAUGCCCUUAGGGUGGUAAGAUCAGCAACCUGAUUUUGUAGCCUUCCAGCAGUUACAUCCACUGUUGUCUGUUUUCUUUAUCUGUAAUUCAGGCAAGAUGGAUUUUAAUGAGCAAUAGUAAGCUUACUAAGACUGGAAUCAUGUCCUUAUAUGGCUGUUGCUCAGGCCUCUUCCUUUUUUCUUGUCCUUUGAACACAUCCAAAAUUUUUAUUGAAUAUACUUAUGGAAGGCAAAGUUUCUCUUAUAGGAUAAGUAAGCUUUGCUGUGCUUCAAGGUUUUAAACCUUGAUAUCCACACUCAAUCAGAAUCUGACUUGAUUUGUUAUAGAUGGCGUAUUUUACUCCUUUGUUGCUUGUGGAGGUGAAAUGCAUAUCUGCGUUGGUUUUCAUGAUUUUCAGCAUGCAGCUUAUGGAAAACUUGAUUCCAGUUGUGGAGCAGCAAAGACCACCAAGAGUUUUGCGGAGAGUGCAGUCAAUGAGCUGGUAGGACGGCUUUUAAUUAUUCAGUCAAGAACAAAUGUAGAAAUGUUUCAUGACCAGUUAAAUGAGGUGGAUACAGGAUUAGUAAGAAGAGGCGUUCUGGUGCGGGGGAAAUUGCUUGAUGGGAGCGUUUGCAGAUACAAAGUAGAAAAAGAGCGAUUAGACAUCUAGAAUUUUCUCAUGGGCCCAUAACGAUCAAGCUUGAGAACUAUCCCUUAGUUCUGCGUAGUUUAGAUGUUGUAGAGAAAAGGAAACAUUUUCUUAUACAGGAAUUGUAGCUUCUCUUUUUCGUCAUGCCGGUGGCUGGGAAGACCAUGAUCUUCGGACUAAUUUAUACCAAAUAUUUUUUUGUUUUGUAGUUUCAAAUAAAGGCUUUAUUUGUUACAAUCUGUUAGGUAUUU